GACGAACGCUGGCGGCGCGCUUAACACAUGCAAGUCGAGCGAAGCGGCGGACGGGUGAGUAACACGUGAGUAACCUGCCUUAGACAUUGGGAUAGCCUCGGGAAACCGGGAUUAAUACCAAAUGGUCUAAGAUGGACUCGCGUCCCAUUAGCUAGUUGGUGAGGUAACGGCCCACCAAGGCGACGACGGGUAGCCGGGCUCAGAGGGUGAACCGAAACAUUGGAACUGAGCAACGGUCCAAACUCUACGGGAGGGAGCAGUGGGGAAUAUUGCACCAUGGAGGGAACUCUGAUGCAGCGACGCCGCGUGAACGAAGAAGGCUGUCAAGUCGUAAGGUUUUUUUAUAUGGAAAGCGGUACCAUAAGAAAAAGCCCCGGCUAACUACGUGCCAGCAGCCGCGGUAAUAC
rnacentral:rRNA from 1 species